UGGGGAAUCUUGCGCAAUGGCCUAACGGCUGACGCAGCGACGCCGCGUGUGGGAGGACGCCUUUCGGGGUGUAAACCACUGUUGCCCGGGACGAACAGCUUCUUUCGAGGAGCCUGACGGUACCGGGUGAGGAAGCACCGGCUAACUCCGUGCCAGCAGCCGCGGUAAUACGGAGGGUGCGAGCGUUGUCCGGAAUCAUUGGGCGUAAAGGGCGCGUAGGUGGCGGGAGAAGCGUGCGGUGAAAGCUCGGGGCUCAACCCCGAGUCUGCCGUGCGAACUCUCUUGCUUGAGCACUGUAGAGGCAGGCGGAAUUCCGGGUGUAGCGGUGGAAUGCGUAGAGAUCCGGAAGAACACCGGUGGCGAAGGCGGCCUGCUGGGCAGUUGCUGACACUGAGGCGCGACAGCGUGGGGAGCAAACAG
rnacentral:rRNA from 1 species